rnacentral:rRNA from 1 species
UACGGAGGGGGCUAGCGUUGUUCGGAAUUACUGGGCGUAAAGCGCACGUAGGCGGCUUUGCAAGUUAGAGGUGAAAGCCCGGGGCUCAGCUCCGGAAUUGCCUUUAAAACUGCAUCGCUAGAAUUGUGGAGAGGUAAGUGGAAUUCCGAGUGUAGAGGUGAAAUUCGUAGAUAUUCGGAAGAACACCAGUGGCGAAGGCGACUUACUGGACACAUAUUGACGCUGAGGUGCGAAAGCGUGGGGAGCAAACAGG